rnacentral:rRNA from 1 species
UGGGGAAUCUUCCGCAAUGGACGAAAGUCUGACGGAGCAACGCCGCGUGAGUGAAGAAGGUUUUCGGAUCGUAAAACUCUGUCUUUUGGGGCGAACGUGAGUAUGGUGAACAAUCAUAGUCAGUGACGGUACCAAAGGAGGAAGCCACGGCUAACUACGUGCCAGCAGCCGCGGUAAUACGUAGGUGGCAAGCGUUGUCCGGAAUUAUUGGGCGUAAAGAGCGCGUAGGCGGGAUAGUCAGUCUGUUGUAAAGUGCGGGGCUCAACCCGUGAUCGCAAUGGAAACAGCUAUUCUUGAGUGCAGGAGAGGAAAGUGGAAUUCCCAGUGUAGCGGUGAAAUGCGUAGGUAUUGGGAGGAACACCAGUGGCGAAGGCGACUUUCUGGACUGUGUCUGACGCUGAGGCGCGAAAGCCAGGGGAGCGAACGGGAUUAGAUACCCCGGUAGUCCUGGCCGUAAACGAUGGGUACUAGGUGUGGGAGGUAUCGACCCCUUCCGUGCCGGAGUUAACGCAAUAAGUACCCCGCCUGGGGAGUACGGUCGCAAGACUGAAACUUAAAUGAAUUGACGGGGUCAUAGCUGUUUCCU